ACUUACCUAUAAAAGGAUACAAAAACUGAAGAACAGAGAGGAGCAGAUACCCUGGAAAGCCGAAAGUUUUAUUGACCAAAGACUGGGUCUCGGAAUGUUUUGAUUGUGGAGUUUAUAGAGUUCAGGCUGAAGUUUUAUAAAAAUAACUUGCAGCAGCAUGGAGGACUGAUGAGAAAGUAGACAGAUGCUGGAAGCAGGAAAACUGAACAGCAGGUCACUGGCCAAGGAGAAUCAAAGAGCUAGAUGCUGAGAAUAAUGCAGCCAUAACGUGAAAU
rnacentral:lncRNA from 1 species